AUGGGGAUAAAAAGCGGGAGGAGCAAGCAGGGGGAAACAGUGGAGACAGAUCCACGACACGCGCAAGUCUGCGGAUCGGGAGGGAAACCUGUGAUUAUGUCCGCAAACGGAUCAAACAACGACGUGGAUCAGAGAGGCCCGGCCGGGUUGUCGGACGGGGAAACCUUCAGGUCUCACGCCGACGGUACAGACCGGUGUGAGAAGAACAUCACAAACUCUGCCGACCCUCCGGAGCAGAGUAACGCCGUCCGUGAAAGAGCGCAGCGAGGGGGGGAAAUAAUAAUAAGACAACCAAGUUAUUGUUGUCGACGUACAUCAGAAAGAGAAGAAAUGCGGAAAGAGAUUAAAAGUGAAGAGGACAUCGUGACUAUACCGAGCCGGGUCACCGCUGUAGACAAUCCGUCAAAGGAGGAGCAAGAGAGAGUUGUAGCAUCCCGAGCUCUCCGUCCUAUCAUACGCAAUCCUCGUGGGCUGCAGGUCAUGAGACUCCAAGGAAGAGGAGCCCAGCAACGAAGGAAUUUCCAUAAGAGGGAGGUCCUGCGAAUGCUCUCCAGCAUGUACUCCACAACCCUUUUGGCCUAUGUAUCAAUAGCAAAAAGCAGUAAUUUGUAA
rnacentral:lncRNA from 1 species